rnacentral:lncRNA from 1 species
GGGGGGGAUGAGGAUGGAAGGGUGGACUGAAAUCACAACGAAGCUUUGGAUUAUUCCUAUCAUAGGUUUCAUAAACGCUCAGCUCUUCCUGAUCCUCCGUGGCUAGAGAAAGUCAUACUGUAUGCUUUAUGUGCAUGAGAGACAUUUAUGUAUUUACAGUGCACACGCUUCAAUGGCUACUCCUGUGUUGAGGACAUCUGGCUCCAAGGUUGACAUAUUUUCUCCUCUACCUCUCUGUCUCUAACAACAACCUUAUCAUCCUCCAUUACACACCUGGAUUGUAUUACAUAUUAGUUCUCUUAACAGAGAUAGGUGUAAAACAAGGAUGAUGGGGAUGGGUCUGUGACGGAUAUCAUCGUGAGAAAGAGAGAAAUAGAGGGAGCGAGAGAAUGUGAGAGAGAAAGGGGGGGAGAGGGGGGAUAGAGAGAGACAGGGGAUAGAGAGAGACCGGGGUAGAGAGAGACAGGGGAUAGAGAGAGACCGGGGUAGAGAGAGACAGAGUGUAGAGAGAGACAGGGGCAGAGAGAGACAGCCAGGGAGAGAGAGAGACAGACAGGGACAGAGAGAGACAGACAGGGACAGAGAGAGACAGACAGGGAUAGAGAGAGACAGGGGUAGAGAGAGACAGGGGAUAGAGAGAGACGGGGAUAGAGAGAGAUAGGGGAUAGAGAGAGACAUAGGUAGAGAGAUACAGGGGUAGAGAGAGACAGGGGGUAGAGAGAGAUAGGGGAUAGAGAGAGACAUAGGUAGAGAGAUACAGGGACAGAGAGAGACGGGGAUAGAGAGAGACAGGGGGUAGAGAGAGACAGGGGAUAAAGAGAGACAGGGUAGAGAGAGACAGGGGAUAGAGAGAGACAAGGGUAGAGAGAUACAGGGGAUAGAGAGAGACGGGGAUAGAGAGAUACAGGGGGUAGAGAGAUACAGGGGUAGAGAGAGACAGGGGGUAGAGAGAGACAGGGGGUAGAGAGAGACAGGGGAUAGAGACAGACAGGGGUAGAGAGAGACAGGGGUAGAGAGAGACAGGGGUAGAGAGAGACAGGGGGUAGAGAGAGAUAGGGGAUAGAGAGAGACAGGGAUAGAGAGAGACAGGGGAUAAAGAGAGACAGGGGGUAGAGAGAGACAGGGGGUAGAGAGAGACAGGGGAUAGAGACAGACAGGGGUAGAGAGAGACAGGGAUAGAGACAGACAGGGAUAGAGAGAGACAGAGGUAGAGAGAGGGGAUAGAGAGACAGGGAAUAGAGAGAGACAGGGGAUAGAGAGAGACGGGUAGAGAGAGACAGGGGAUAGAGAGAGACGGGGGUAGAGAGAGACAGGGAAUAGAGAGAGAGACGGGGUAGAGAGAGACAGGGGGUAGAGAGAGACAGGGGUAGAGAGAGACAGGGGUAGAGAGAGACAGGGGUAGAGAGAGACAGGGGUAGAGAGAGACAGGGAGCAGUUAUCCUCUCUAUUUCCUCUGCACCAGCUUUGCGGUUUCUGUGUGGAACAGAUGUUCACAACUUGAUACAGUGCACCAUGCCCCUCUCCUUGCUAUCUUCAGUCCCAGCACUACCAACUGUCUGCACACACACAUUCUCCCUCUCUCUCUCUUGCAUGCCAAUGUGGACACAAUUGCUUGCCUGAAUACAUGUGGAUGUAUUCAGGUGAAAACAGCGUAAAUUGAGAACUUUCUACUGCUGCCCA